ACAAGUACCGUGAGGGAAAGUUGCAAAGCACUUUGAAGAGAGAGUUAAAGAGGACGUGAAACCGGUAAGGUGGAAACGGAUAGAGUCGGCGUAUCAUUCAAUUAUUCAGUUACAUUAUUUUUAUGUUGUGACCUCUGAGCUCCAGAUUGGGACAGAGGGAAUCAGCAUAAUUUUUUGUGGUGCAUUUACUUGAUUGGUGCUUGGGGAUGUUUGAGGCAGAUUUGUUUCCGUCGUUUUGAGGCCAGCUUGCUGGUACCCAAACGGUGUUAGCAUUUUUUGUCUUGGGCAUUUGAGUAUGGCUCACGUGUAUUUAUUGGACAGAUCUGAGUGUAAGUUACGGUCGCAUGCGACACGUGCUUUUCAAUUAGUUCGGUCCAGUUAAUGCUCUCGUACUCGUUCCCCAUGUAAAAGCCGGUCAUCUAUCCGACCCGUCUUGAAACACGGACCAAGGAGUUUAUCGUGUGCGCAAGUUUUUGGGUGUUAAAAACCUAAAGGCGAAAUGAAAGUAAAUGGCUCUUUAGAGCCUGAUGUGCGAUCUUGUAAAAAAGUGCAGCAUGGCCCCAUUCUAACUGUUUACAGCAGGGUGGCGGAAGAGCGUACGCGGUGAGACCCGAAAGAUGGUGAACUAUUCCUGAGCAGGACGAAGCCAGAGGAAACUCUGGUGGAAGUCCGAAGCGGUUCUGACGUGCAAAUCGAUCGUCUGACUUGGGUAUAGGGGCGAAAGACUAAUCGAACCAUCUAGUAGCUGGUUCCUUCCGA
rnacentral:rRNA from 1 species